rnacentral:rRNA from 1 species
AGUGGAAUGGGGAGGGACUCUGAUGCAGCGACGCCGCGUGAGGGAUGAAGGUCUUCGGGUUGUAAACCUCUGUCUUCGGGGACGAAGAAGUUGGGGGUCCCCUCGAGGGAUCCGGACCUUACCUCCUGGCCACCCCCCGGGUUAUUAUAUGCCCGCCGCCGCUAUAAUAA